rnacentral:lncRNA from 1 species
GGCUCUCUGCACCCCACCCCCGCCCCCAGGAAUGGCAGCAUCGUGGUGGAAUAUCUAGUCCUGCUGGAGUUACCCUUCAGCCUCCAGCUGGAGGAGGAGUAUGAGAAAGUGAAGGUGGCCUUGAAGGAGGAGCUCCAGAAUGUCAGCCAGGAUGGGAACAGCUGCCAGAAUGACCAGGUCCUGUGUUUCAAGCCUGACUCCAUCAAGGUGAACAACAACACCAGGACAGAGCUGUCAUUUGAAGCCAUCUGUCGCCGCGCUGCUGCCGAAGGUUUUGAGGAUUUCUACUUCCCUUUCCUGGAGGAGAACCAGCUCCGCUGUGUCACCAACUGCACAGUGGGUGUGGAAGGCGCCAUUGACUGCCAUCAGGGCCAAUGCUUUGUGCAGAGGAGUGGUCCUUCUUGCCGCUGCUUCUCUACGGACACGCACUGGUUCUUGGGCCCGCGCUGCGAGGUGGCCAUCUCCUGGAAGGCGCUGGUCGGGGGUCUGGCGGGAGCCGGGGCCCUGCUUCUGCUGCUGCUGGUGGUGGCGCUGAGCGUGUUCAUCAUGCGCUCCCGGAGGAGGGAUAGGCAAGGCCGAGGCAGGUCCGGGGACGACAGGAAGUGGUUUGAGACCUGGGAUGCGAACACUGCGGGGACUUUUUCUAACUCAGGCUUCGAAGAUGACAUUAACGAAGAAAACUUCCCUGUGGCCUUGAACACCGUGGACACCAAUGCCAGGGUGCAUAUUCACAGACCUGAGGUGGUCUCAUCCUCACUGUGAGCCCCACUGCCCUCUCCACCUGCCCGGACAGCGGAGAGAACCAUCUGCACUGCUUUUGGAGAGAUGGGCGCGGGCUCGUGCGGCUCAGUCUCCUGGUUUCCUGGGGCAUAACGGACCUCCGCCUACCCUCAUCCUUCCCCCAUCUUGGGUGAAACCCACCUGGAGACCCAGUUCAAAUCCACGCUCUUCCACUGUGGGACACUGGGCAAGUCAGUAACUUCUCUGAACUUCGGUUUUGUCACCUGUAAAAUGCAAGUGGCCCACUGCUCCUGAUACCUCCUGUUGGUUAUAGUGAAACCAGAUGUCUUGGGUCCGACCUCUGUCCUGAUGCACCUUCCUGUGUCGGCCUUCCUGCUCAUAUGGCUUCACUCACAUCCCCAGUCCCCAUGUCCUUCCCCGAGGCUCAGGCCUCUGCCUCUCCUUUUCCUGUGUGCAUCCCUACUGCCAGCCAGGUCCUCCCCACCCCCCACCCCCGCCCCCGCGCCCCCCUCCCCCGUACCUGUAAGCAGCCUGCAGCCUGUCCCAGCCUCCUCCCCUCUCCUUCCGUAACUCCCUGCUGCGCCCCUCCACCACUUCUUAACCCUCUCCCCUCUGAACCCACUUCUUCUUAAGUCCCUCCUCCCCCACACUCCCGCCCUGUGUCUCCCUGUUUCCAUACUUUCCCCUUCCUCAUCUUUUUACCCUCAACCCUAAAUCCCCCUGCCCCCCACAUCUGCAUGCCCCACUCCUAAAUCCUCCCAUCUCCCCACCCUCCCUCCCUAAGUAGGUACAGAUGCCCUCUGCAUCUUAGGACCCCCAACUGGGGUUCUCUAGACCAGGUCCCCCAUUCUGAGUCCCCAUCCUUCCUGUCACCCCUAAGGGCCCUGGAUCCCGGUGGGUGGGGGUGGCAGGUAGGUUCCCAGGUCCCUGAAGAUGAGGGGAAGAGGGGCCCUGAGGUGGGAAAGCUCCCUCAGCCCCUCCUCCCCAUUCCCCUAACUCUCCCUCCUCUCCCGUAGUGCCCCCCACUUCCUACCCCUCCCCCAUCUCCCCUCCCCCUUCCUCUCCCUGGCUCACCCCCAUCUCUGCUGUAACCUGUGAAGCCAGGAGCCCGGCCUCCUUUGCAGGAAGACCUCACCUGGGGACAGGAUGUCUGCAAGUCUCCAGUUCAACCAGCUGUACAUAAUGUAAUAUUUGUUGUAAACAAAACAAAACAGAAAUCCU